rnacentral:rRNA from 1 species
CAGGGCUUGACAUCCUCGGGACCUGCUUGAAAGAGCGGGGUGCCUUCGGGAGCCGAGAGACAGGUGCUGCAUGGCUGUCGUCAGCUCGUGUCGUGAGAUGUUGGGUUAAGUCCCGCAACGAGCGCAACCCUCGUGGUUAGUUAUGGUGAAUGUCUAGCCAGACUGCCGGGCACAACCCGGAGGAAGGGGGGGAUGAUGUCAAGUCAGCAUGGCCCUUACGCCCUGGGCGACACACACGCUACAAUGGCCGGGACAGCGGGCAGCCAAGCGGCAACGCGGAGCCAAUCCCUGAAAACCCGGUCUCAGUUCGGAUUGUGGGCUGCAACUCGCCCGCAUGAAGUCGGAGUUGCUAGUAACCGCCGGUCAGCCAUACGGCGGUGAAUAUGUUCCC